rnacentral:rRNA from 1 species
AUUGAACGCUGGCGGCAGGCCUAACACAUGCAAGUCGAGCGGUAGAGAGGAGCUUGCUUCUCUUGAGAGCGGCGGACGGGUGAGUAAUGCCUAGGAAUCUGCCUGGUAGUGGGGGAUAACGUUCGGAAACGGACGCUAAUACCGCAUACGUCCUACGGGAGAAAGUGGGGGAUCUUCGGACCUCACGCUAUCAGAUGAGCCUAGGUCGGAUUAGCUAGUUGGUGAGGUAAAGGCUCACCAAGGAGACGAUCCGUAACUGGUCUGAGAGGAUGAUCAGGCACACUGGAACUGAGACACGGUCCAGACUCCUACGGGAGGCAGCAGUGGGGAAUAUUGGACAAUGGGCGCAAGCCUGAUCCAGCCAUGCCGCGUGUGUGAAGAAGGUCUUCGGAUUGUAAAGCACUUUAAGUUGGGAGGAAGGUCAGUAGCUUAAUACGUUGCUGAUUUGACGUUACCGACAGAAUAAGCACCGGCUAACUUCGUGCCAGCAGCCGCCGUAAAAC